AGGUUCUGCAGAGCCACACCCACCCACCGCUGUCAUGUUUUGACAGGCCUGCUAUAGCUAAGAGCUAAGAUAACAAGCUAAGAGGUAGCUAGUCAACAAACAUCUGUUCGUGCAGACAUGCAGACUGUCAUAAAAUGAUUUGUCAAAAGAAGUAUUUUUCUGCUGAAGUAGUUAUUCGAGAUCACUCGAAGAUGGAUUAUGUCGACAUUGAUGAGAAGAUGAGUGAUGAGAAGAUCGUGACGACGGUGAUAAUUAUGCUUGAGGGCGGAAAAGAUUAUCCAAUUUUCGUCAUCAAGUUGAAUCUUCAGAUGAAGAAUGGCAUCCAAGCACCAGCCAGAGAUGCAAGCUCUCAGUUUCUUCACUAUUCUUCACUUUUUCCAUACUUUUCAGAACAUUGCAAUUGACAAGAGGAUGGUGGCAUCAAAAGCUAGGAAUGGACUAAAGCAAUAUAUGAAGGCCAAGCCAACAAAGUACAGUAUUUAUAUCACUUGUAUUUUCUAUGGCAAAGAACCUCAGUUAUUUAUUUUUUAUAUUUCAUAAUAUUUUACUUAUGUAUUUUACAUAUAUAUUUUUUGUUCUGUUGUGCAAAUAAAUCACUUGCAUAAAGUCUAA